UAUCAAUAAGCGGAGGAAAAGAAACCAACAGGGAUUGCCCCAGUAACGGCGAGUGAAGCGGCAACAGCUCAAAUUUGAAAUCUGGCCCCUAGGGCCCGAGUUGUAAUUUGCAGAGGAUGCUUUGGGCGAGGUGCCUUCCGAGUUCCCUGGAACGGGACGCCACAGAGGGUGAGAGCCCCGUCUGGUCGGACACCGAGCCUGUGUAAAGCUCCUUCGACGAGUCGAGUAGUUUGGGAAUGCUGCUCAAAAUGGGAGGUAUAUGUCUUCUAAAGCUAAAUAUUGGCCAGAGAACGAUAGCGCACAAGUAGAGUGAUCGAAAGAUGAAAAGCACUUUGAAAAGAGGGUUAAAAAGUACGUGAAAUUGUUGAAAGGGAAGCGCCUAUGACCAGACUUGGGCCCGGUGAAUCAUCCAGCGUUCUCGCUGGUGCACUUUGCCGGGCACAGGCCAGCAUCAGUUUGGCGCGGGGGACAAAGGCUUCGGGAAUGUGGCUCCCUCGGGAGUGUUAUAGCCCGCUGCGCAAUACCCUGCGCUGGACUGAGGUACGCGCAUCGCAAGGAUGCUGGCGUAAUGGUCAUCAGCGACCCGUCUUGAAACACGGACCAAGGAGUCGUCUUCGUAUGCGAGUGUUCGGGUGUCAAACCCCUACGCGUAAUGAAAGUGAACGCAGGUGAGAGCUUCGGCGCAUCAUCGACCGAUCCUGAUGUUCUCGGAUGGAUUUGAGUAAGAGCAUACGGGGCCGGACCCGAAAGAAGGUGAACUAUGCCUGUAUAGGGUGAAGCCAGAGGAAACUCUGGUGGAGGCUCGCAGCGGUUCUGACGUGCGAAUCGAUCGUCAAAUAUGGGCAUGGGGGCGAAAGACUAAUCGAACCUUCUAGUAGCUGGUUUC
rnacentral:rRNA from 1 species